rnacentral:rRNA from 1 species
GUGGAUUAGUGGCGAACGGGUGAGUAACACGUGGGCAAUCUGCCCUUCACUCUGGGACAAGCCCUGGAAACGGGGUCUAAUACCGGAUAACACCUGCCCGGGCAUCCGGGUGGGUUAAAAGCUCCGGCGGUGAAGGAUGAGCCCGCGGCCUAUCAGCUUGUUGGUGAGGUAGUGGCUCACCAAGGCGACGACGGGUAGCCGGCCUGAGAGGGCGACCGGCCACACUGGGACUGAGACACGGCCCAGACUCCUACGGGAGGCAGCAGUGGGGAAUAUUGCACAAUGGGCGAAAGCCUGAUGCAGCGACGCCGCGUGAGGGAUGACGGCCUUCGGGUUGUAAACCUCUUUCAGCAGGGAAGAAGCGAAAGUGACGGUACCUGCAGAAGAAGCGCCGGCUAACUACGUGCCAGCAGCCGCGGUAAUACGUAGGGCGCAAGCGUUGUCCGGAAUUAUUGGGCGUAAAGAGCUCGUAGGCGGCUUGUCACGUCGGGUGUGAAAGCCCGGGGCUUAACCCCGGGUCUGCAUUCGAUACGGGCUAGCUAGAGUGUGGUAGGGGAGAUCGGAAUUCCUGGUGUAGCGGUGAAAUGCGCAGAUAUCAGGAGGAACACCGGUGGCGAAGGCGGAUCUCUGGGCCAUUACUGACGCUGAGGAGCGAAAGCGUGGGGAGCGAACAGGAUUAGAUACCCUGGUAGUCCACGCCGUAAACGGUGGGAACUAGGUGUUGGCGACAUUC